rnacentral:snoRNA from 1 species
ACUGCCACCAGAGGCGUUGCAGAUGUGGCUGCUGUGUCACAUUUGUGUCAUUAGGUGGCAGAAAGAAGAAAGGCUACGUCUACGCUGUCUCAGAGUUCUGACCCGUGGACGUCUGAAUGAUUAGUAGUCUGACAUU